CUAUUAAUUGUAGACCCGUAUGAAAGGCAUAAUGAGGGUUCAACUGUCUCUUUUAGUAAAUCAAUUAAACUGAUCUUCUAGUCAAAAAGCUAGAAUUAUAUCAUAAGACCAGAAGACCCUGUGAAGCUUUAACUAAACUGUUAAACCAUAUAACAACUACUUUCGGUUGGGGCGACCUUGGAAAAAAAAAGAACUUCCAAACUCAUAUUAUAUAAAAAUACUUAAUAGGCUAACAAGCACACAAAGACCCAGCUAAAGCUGACAACUGAACCAAGUUACUCCAGGGAUAACAGCGCUAUCUUCUUCAAGAGCCCAUAUCAAAAAGAAGGUUUACGACCUCGANGUUGGAUCMGGACAUCCCAA
rnacentral:rRNA from 1 species